rnacentral:rRNA from 1 species
UACGAAGGGGGCUAGCGUUGCUCGGAAUCACUGGGCGUAAAGCGCACGUAGGCGGUCUUUUAAGUCAGGGGUGAAAUCCUGGAGCUCAACUCCAGAACUGCCUUUGAUACUGAGAGACUUGAGUCCGGGAGAGGUGAGUGGAACUGCGAGUGUAGAGGUGAAAUUCGUAGAUAUUCGCAAGAACACCAGUGGCGAAGGCGGCUCACUGGCCCGAUACUGACGCUGAGGUGCGAAAGCCAGGGGAGCAAACGUG